GACGUAGGGCGCAAGCGUUGUCCGGAUUUAUUGGGCGUAAAGCGCGCGCAGGCGGCCUUUUAAGUCUGCUGGUGAAAUGCCGGGGCUCAACCCCGUGCCCGCCACAGAUACUGGGAGGCUGGAGACGAGUAGAGGCAAGCGGAAUUCCGGGUGUAGCGGUGGAAUGCGUAGAGAUCCGGAAGAACACCGGAGGCGAAGGCGGCUUGCUGGGCUUGGUCUGACGCUGAGGCGCGAAAGCGUGGGGAGCGAACAGG
rnacentral:rRNA from 1 species